AUUUAAAGUAUAAUUGAACAAAAUUCCAUGUUGAUCGCCUCACAAAUCAGGUCCUAGAAUGGACUUUAAAUGACAAAUGAACACACUUGAAGAAUGUACAAAACACUGUUUUUAGGAAAUUGGGAUCUCAAUGUGAGAGUCUGUACUUACUAGAAUAUUCUUCGAAUGGAAAGUUAUAUCCCUUUCACCGUCAGUGGAAAAUAGCCCAGGUGUCUGAGUUUCAAGUAAAGAAUUAUGGGGUUUUCAAGAUGGCAGAAUGGAGGAGGUCACUUUAUUGGCUGGUCCAAGGAGUGAAACCAAGAAAGCAGAAAGGCAGCUACUCAGCAAGAGACUGUGGAUUCUCUAUGGGAAACUCAGUAGAUCAAUUAGUUGCAUGAAUGCUCUGGAUAUUAAUGAGUAUGUAAAGGAAACUGAUAUUAUAGAAAUGAAUUGAAGAAGGAGCACAUGAUUUUUAAUGAUACAAAGAUGCAGAAUCCAUGGAUGUGGAGGGCCAAUUGUAACUACAUCUGCUUUCAAGUAUCAGGAGAAAAUUUAGCCAUCUUUAAAAGGAUUGACGAUGCUGCCAAUAGUCAAUCAAAUUUCAAAAAUGAAAUAUUAACAAUCACCUGUAAGUGUUGUGAAAACAGGUACUAGGGAAAUCUAAAAUAGCAAAACAACAUUUAGAUGGAAAAAAAAAAUAAAAACACCAAACUUGCUUAUCUGUUAAAGUGCAGAGA